rnacentral:rRNA from 1 species
CCUACGGGAGGCAGCAGUAGGGAAUCUUCGGCAAUGGACGGAAGUCUGACCGAGCAACGCCGCGUGAGUGAAGAAGGUUUUCGGAUCGUAAAGCUCUGUUGUAAGAGAAGAACGAGUGUGAGAGUGGAAAGUUCACACUGUGACGGUAACUUACCAGAAAGGGACGGCUAACUACGUGCCAGCAGCCGCGGUAAUACGUAGGUCCCGAGCGUUAUCCGGAUUUAUUGGGCGUAAAGCGAGCGCAGGCGGUUAGAUAAGUCUGAAGUUAAAGGCUGUGGCUUAACCAUAGUACGCUUUGGAAACUGUUUAACUUGAGUGCAGAAGGGGAGAGUGGAAUUCCAUGUGUAGCGGUGAAAUGCGUAGAUAUAUGGAGGAACACCGGUGGCGAAAGCGGCUCUCUGGCUUGUAACUGACGCUGAGGCUCGAAAGCGUGGGGAGCAAACAGGAUUAGAUACCCGUGUAGUC